UACGAAGGGGGCUAGCGUUGCUCGGAAUCACUGGGCGUAAAGGGUGCGUAGGCGGGUCUUUAAGUCAGGGGUGAAAUCCUGGAGCUCAACUCCAGAACUGCCUUUGAUACUGAGGAUCUUGAGUAUGGGAGAGGUGAGUGGAACUGCGAGUGUAGAGGUGAAAUUCGUAGAUAUUCGCAAGAACACCAGUGGCGAAGGCGGCUCACUGGCC
rnacentral:rRNA from 1 species